rnacentral:rRNA from 1 species
GAUGAACGCUAGCGGCAGGGCCUAAUACAUGCAAGUCGAACGGUGGUCGCAAGACCAUAGUGGCGCACGGGUGCGUAACGCGUAACCAACCUACCUGGAUCUGGGGGAUAGCCCGCCGAAAGGCGGAUUAAUACCGCAUAAGCUAAAUGACUGGCAUCGGUUGUUUCGUAAAGAUUUAUUGGAUUCAGAUGGGGUUGCGUAGCAUUAGCUAGAUGGCGGGGUAACGGCCCACCAUGGCGACGAUGCUUAGGGGACCUGAGAGGGUGAUCCCCCACACUGGCACUGAGAUACGGGCCAGACUCCUACGGGAGGCAGCAGUAGGGAAUAUUGGGCAAUGGGCGAGAGCCUGACCCAGCCAUGCCGCGUGCCGGAUGAAGGCCUUCUGGGUUGUAAACGGCUUUUCUCAGGGAAGAAAAAGAGGAUGCGUCCUAAACUGACGGUACCUGAGGAAUAAGCACCGGCUAACUCCGUGCCAGCAGCCGCGGUAAUACGGAGGGUGCAAGCGUUGUCCGGAUUUAUUGGGUUUAAAGGGUGCGUAGGUGGCCCGUUAAGUCCGGGGUGAAAGCCCACAGCUCAACUGUGGAACUGCCCUGGAUACUGGCGGGCUUGAGAGUAGUCGAGGGUGGCGGAAUGGACGGUGUAGCGGUGAAAUGCAUAGAUACCGUCCAGAACCCCAAUUGCGUAGGCAGCUGCCUAGGCUACAUCUGACACUGAGGCACGAAAGCGUGGGGGGCGAACAGGAUUAGAUACCCUGGUAGUCCACGCCGUAAACGAUGGAUACUCGUUGCCAGCGAUAGACUGUUGGUGACUUAGCGAAAGCGUUAAGUAUCCCAC